CAAUAGCGUAUAUUAAAGCUGUUGCGGUUAAAAAGCUCGUAGUUGGAUUUCUGUCAAGGACAACUGGUCCGCCCUCCGGGUGAGCACAUAGUUUGGUCUUGGCAUCUUGCUGGAAACUGUUGCUGCACUUGGCUGUGUGGCGCAGUGUCCAGCACUUUCACUUUGAGGAAAUUGGAGUGUUUCAAGCAGGCACAUGCCUUUGGACACAGUAGCAUGGAAUAAUUAGAUUGGGCUUUUGCUCCAAUUUGUCGGUUUCUGGAGCUGAGGUGAGAAUUAAUGGGGAUUGUUGGGGGCAUCCGAAUUUAGCUGUCAGAGGUGAAAUUCUUGGAUCUGCUAAAGACGGACAACUGCGAAAGCGUUUGCCCAGGAUGUUUUCAUUGA
rnacentral:rRNA from 1 species